UACGAGGGGGGCGAGCGUUGUUCGGAAUUAUUGGGCGUAAAGGGUGCGUAGGCGGUUCCGCAAGUCCUGUGUGAAAUCUUCGGGCUCAACUCGAAGUCUGCACGGGAAACUGCGGGGCUUGAGUGUGGGAGAGGUGAGUGGAAUUCCCGGUGUAGCGGUGAAAUGCGUAGAUAUCGGGAGGAACGCCUGUGGCGAAAGCGGCUCACUGGACCAUAACUGACGCUGAUGCACGAAAGCUGGGGGAGCAAACAGG
rnacentral:rRNA from 1 species